AAACCCAGUGCCUCACACAUGCUAGUCAAGCACCCUACCACUGAACUACAAGCCCAGCCCUCACUGGGAUUUUUGAAAAACUCCUCUGGAGAUCACAGCACCAAACGUGUCCAUGUUACUAUGUUACAACAUUCUAGCCCCUCGCAAAAGAGCAAAUGACUUCUCUCAGAGUACCCAGCCCAGCUUCAAUAAGAGAAUGGUAGACAGGAAGAAGAAUGUGCACCUGUCUUUGAGGAGGGACCAAGUUGGAAUCCCUGCUUUGCCAUUUACUGGGUGGGAGUAUACCCAUCUCCCAAGGGAGGAAACCAAGGUUCAGAGAGGUUGAGCAACUGGUCCAAGGUCACACAGCCAGCCGAGUGGACACACCAGGGGAAAUGAAGCCCACUAUGGCUCUUCUUGCAGAGGGGAUUGGAAAAGCUUUGCAGAGGAGGAGCUGGUUCAGUUGAGCCCUCAGUGGUAGAGAUGCCAUCUGCCUACCACCCCCAUCGAUCGGAGAGAUGUGGGCACGUGCAGAUAAGGCGGGGGCUCGCCCAGAGCUGGGGACCCACUGCUGGAGAGACGCUGGGGG